AGGCCCGCUGCUGUGCAUCAAAUUUGCGCUGCGCAUCCUGGUUCUCUUUUCAAAGUCAUGUCUCUUAUGGGAAUUUACUACGUCGUCACCUCACCCACAGUUGUCUCCAUCUAGCCCUGCCCUCGGCAUUCAUCUCUCCAACCCCCGCUGUUCUUCCCCUGCUAUUGUUCUGAAGGAGCCAGCCAGAGCACCGACUCCCUCGUCCCCGGGCGUCCAGGCGAUGCCGAGGUUGAUUCUUGGCCGGUGGCGUGCGGCGUACGGUGGAAGAGUUCUCCUGAAAGGCAGAAGUUUUUUGUUGUGAGGCCGUUAGAGAAGUGAGGAUAACAUAUUUAUUUAGCGGGAUACAAGAUGCUAUGGUGAUUAAUCGUGUAGAAAACAGUGACCAAUCCCCAGAAGAUUGGGUUAGUGACGAGGAUGGUUCAGGUGGUUUCACUGGAUUACCAGGGACACCAUGUUUUACUUCCAGGCUUUCAUUGCUCAAAUUUGGUUCGGUUGUUGCCAAGUUCAGUGAUUUCAAGCGGCAACUAGUUAUGGAGACUGGUUUUGGGGGGUUUCUAGAGGUGAAGGCAUGGCAGAAGAUUAAUCUGAAGUAUAGCGCUUUUUUAAUGGACCGAGUGCAUGUAGAAUCCAGCACAAUCAACCUUGAGGAACAGGGCGUGCUUGAACUGUCCGAACAGAAGCUUAAUUAUGUUUUUGGCAUCCCCUCCGGUGAAUUCGAUAUAAACGGCAAAGGCGUCGAGCCAUCAGAAGCCUGCAUCGAGUACACCCGAAUGGCAGCAUCAUUCAGCGACAAAGGCACACAUAGCCUAAAAGCAGCUGAAAAUGUUUUGCUUGGAGCUAUAUCAGAAUCGUCAUCCCAAAUACAGCAGGACUGUUUCAAGAUUGCAUUUGUUAUUUUUAUAAUCGGUCAUGUGCUGACUCCCACCUCCAAACAUGAUUAUAUAUCCAUAGACUUCUAGGCUGCACUGAAUGACAUUAGCAAGAUCAAGAGUUGGAACUGGGGAGAGUAUGUACUGAAACACUUGUUUCAAGCUGUCAGAAAGUUCAAGACAGAUGUUUCAAAGAGAAACCCAACCAUCCACAUAGUUGGCUGUCACUUGUUUCUGCAGGUUUUUGUUCUCGAUUGUCUCGACCUUGGUAUACUAAACAAGCCGCAAGAAAUAACCCCCCGCAUAGGUUUGUAUGAUUAUGAUUCAAUGAGGAAGAUGGUUGAGAAGAUUGCAGUGAACAUAUCUCCUGGGGAGAUUUCCUACCACGGGGGAGCGGUUCGGCCCGAGCUCUCUGUUAGCCAGCCGAUUGAACUCCAUGCGAAAGAUACAUGCUCCCUAAAUCCCCCCAAACAAGCAACAGCCCGUAAAGAGCAAGCAUACCAUCCACGCCAAUGCUACGGUGUAAUUACACAAGGACUGGCCCACAAGAUUUUUCAAAUUACAUCCACACAAAAUACCCGAACAUAUCAGCAGAGAAGCUGGGUAUUCUUCUUCGCGAGCAGAAUGCACAUGGUCUCGCUAAUAUAACAGAAAUGCGCCAAGCCUUCCAGACAAACAUGUUCACUUUCACAGACAAGCUUAUGGCCUGUCUAGCAGAAAGUUGUACUUGCUACAAGGCAUUCGGCCGCAAAUCUUGCAUUUUGAAUGGUGAAGGCACAACCAACUGUCAACCACAUCCUACAACAUCAACAGACCAGAACCAAUUCAACACUCCUUUAGUAAGCAAGGUUGGGCCACGCUUGCCUGCACCAGGCCACCAUGAAGGUGCAUCAGCAACAUGAAGCUUUUCCAAGAACUUUUCCAAGAAACAAAACAAUCCCAACACCCUUCAUGUUAUUACUUUCACAGGAGCCAUGUCAGCUACCAGCACAACAUCUAGAAAAAGGGAAGGAAGUAUAUCAUCUAGUGUGCACUCUGGGUUAGCAAAGAAGCAAUGCUCACGCGAUGCACAACCGGUAUCACCACUGGCACCAACACAUGAGAUUGAAAAGCAAAGCCAGAUGGCCAUAGCACAGGAUUCGUCGGUUAUGGAGAUUGCUAGCACGAUUGCCAGCAUGUACGAUGAUCUAACGACCAUUCUUGUAACACAUUAUGCUGAGAUCCGGCCAUCUCCUGAGUUCAUCUUGUUUGGAUCAACUACAGAAGGCGCACCUUUGAAGAUCGACCUUCCUAAAUGCAAUUUCGACAGAGACCCAUGGGUUGUUGGUACAGUAACCGCCCCACCACCCGAGAACGCUCUCAGAGCUAUAAGAGACUGGAUGGCAGCAACUUCUACCUUAAAUCUUCAGAGGCAAGCAUAACCACUCAGCAAACAUACACUGA